rnacentral:rRNA from 1 species
GAUGAACGCUGGCGGCGUGCUUAACACAUGCAAGUCGAACGGAAAGGCUCCUGCUUGCAGGGGUACUCGAGUGGCGAACGGGUGAGUAACACGUGGGUGAUCUGCCCUGCACUUCGGGAUAAGCCUGGGAAACUGGGUCUAAUACCGGAUAGGACGAUGGUUUGGAUGCCAUUGUGGAAAGUUUUUCGGUGUGGGAUGAGCUCGCGGCCUAUCAGCUUGUUGGUGGGGUAAUGGCCUACCAAGGCGUCGACGGGUAGCCGGCCUGAGAGGGUGUACGGCCACAUUGGGACUGAGAUACGGCCCAGACUCCUACGGGAGGCAGCAGUGGGGAAUAUUGCACAAUGGGCGCAAGCCUGAUGCAGCGACGCCGCGUGGGGGAUGACGGCCUUCGGGGUGUAAACACCUUUCGCUAGGGACGAAGCGCAAGUGACGGUACCUGGAGAAGAAGCACCGGCUAACUACGUG